GUAAAGCACUUUCAGUUGUGAGGAAGGUGGUGUCGUUAAUAGCGGCAUCAUUUGACGUUAGCAACAGAAGAAGCACCGGCUAACUCCGUGCCAGCAGCCGCGGUAAUACGGAGGGUGCGAGCGUUAAUCGGAAUUACUGGGCGUAAAGACGCAUGCAGGUGGUUUGUUAAGUUCAGAUGUGAAAGACCCGGGGCGUCAACCUCGGAACUAGGCAUUUGAAACUAGGCAGACUAGAGUACUGUAGAGGGGGUAGGAAGUUUCAGGUGUAGCGGUGAAAUAGCGUAGAGAUCUGAAGGAAUACCGGUGGCGAAGGCGGCCCCCUCGGACAGAUACUGACACUCAGAUGCGAAAGCGUGGGGAGCAAACAGGAUUAGAUACCCUGGUAG
rnacentral:rRNA from 1 species